GAUGAAGAACGUAGCGAAAUGCGAUACUUGGUGUGAAUUGCAGAAUCCCGUGAACCAUCGAGUCUUUGAACGCAAGUUGCGCCCGAAGCCAUUAGGUCGAGGGCACGCCUGCCUGGGCGUCACACGUCGUUGCCCCCCCAUCUACUCCUUCGGGAUUGCGGGGGGCGGAUGAUGGCCUCCCGUGCGCCUCGUCGCGCGGUUGGCAUAAAUGCCAAGUCCUCGGCGACGCACGCCACGACAAUCGGUGGUUGCGAAACCUCGGUUGCCCGUCGUGUGCGGUCGUCGCGCAUCGAGGGCUCGAAAAAAUUGCCGGGCUCCGGCUCGGCUUUCAACGCGACCCCAGGUCAGGCGGGGUUACCCGCUGAAUUUAAGCAUAUCAAUAAGCGGAGGA
rnacentral:misc_RNA from 1 species